UGAGGUUUGGGGGAGGGAUCCUGCGGGCCGAGAAAGGGAGAGAAAAAGUUAAGGAAUCCCAAACGGAACUGAAGUUUCUCCUCUCCUGCGUCCUCCUUCGUCGCGCUCGGCCCUUGGGGCUGGGAGCUCAGCUCGGGACCUCCCGUCACGGAAGUUGGUUGAGUUGCAAGUUCCCCGUGGGGAUUGACGGGGAAUCUCCAGUGUCUGGGGCAGGCCAGGGAGGAGGUCAAGAUGACUUAAGGGCUGCUUGGGAGAGGGGGAUUCCGAGGGGAUUUAGGGGUCGCGGGAGGAGGAAGCCGGCAACCAAAGGCACCGGCUCCCCGACCAGGGUGUGCGGCCUGGGCCUGGCUGGGUGGGUGGCUCCUGGGUUAUCAACUCAGGGGCAAGAAGGCUUUGGCCUUGGAGCCGGUUCGGCUGCUUUGCUCCAGGCCCUGGCGGCCCUCGCUUUCCAGUUGACCUUGCCCCCACGAAAACAGGGAGCAUUCCCAGAGAGAAAGAGGGAACCCGCGGGGCCUCAGGCGGUUUGGGGGAGUCACGUAUCAACCGGGAAACCAGGGCAACGGACGCGACAAAAUCCGACCCAGAGAAGUGUCCUUUAACAGAGCGAAUGAGCUGGGGGUGUUUUUGAGAGAAGACGGACCAGUCUAUUUUUGUGGUUAUUUUUUUAAUAAAGGGAAGCGAGAAAUAAGGGACAAGGUCGCCCCACAUUUUCCCCUGGACCGAGCCAUGGGUUUCGACUUUCCGAAGGGCUGGAACCUGGCCAGGAAAAGACCAGCGCUCCAGACACCCUGGCGCGGAGGAGUGAGGAGGCUGGAUCGCUUCUAGGGAGGCCCAAGCCCGCGGCUGCUAUAAGACGACUUCGGAAAGAAAUCCGCCGAAAUCUGUCAUCCAGAGAGUGAGAGACAAGGCGCAGGGGUCCCCGAACCCCAGGAAAACUGGAAGAAAAUGUGUAAUGUGUGACUUGCUGGCAGGGCCAGCCAGGGGAGAUUUGAAAUGCUUUCGUGUUUUCAUUUACAGAGGUCGCCAUGGGCUCGGCACAAGGGGUUGGCCCCGGCAAGGUUAGCCUGUUUAGGCCCCAGAUGAGACUUGGGACGGCCCCGGUGGCAGUCAAUCCAGGGAGCCAUUUGUCCCACCCCGCGGGAAACGCGCAGACUUUAUGGCCACUCUGUUUGUAUUAUCUGCGAUAAACGCAAACCCGGAGCUGUUAAACAAGAACCCGAAGACGCCAACUUGAAUAACUUGUUGGGUUUUUGCAGACUUGGGAUUCUGCACCAGUGGAGACGAAAGGAAGGAAGACGUGAGGGUGAGGACGGGGAGAGGGGAGCAUUUGUGCGGGUCUGGGAAAGUACAGUCAGGUGUGGGUCCCAGCCCUGCCCCCUUGGGCUCUGUCUUUCCCGAGGCCACGAGCAAAGGCUGUUUCCGUCCUAUUGUCCGGGCCUGGUGUUCAAAGGCAUUCAGGCUGCCACGGCCAUCCCACUUGCCGCCUGCCGCCACUGCUGCCCGCCUACCGGCCAAGCCCCACCGGGCCAAGACCCUCAGGCCUGCACCCCAAGGGAACUGGAUUGGGGUCCAGAAGAACUCUAUGUUGCUAAAAUCACCCUGUUAAGCCAUUUCCCCAACUUUCCGGGAGUGCUGCAUCUAUGCCUGACUCCGAGGCUCCCUCUUCUUGCCUCAACUUGGGGGAUGUGAAAAUCCAGGGGCUUCAGGCCAGAGCGGGCUCAGGCUGCACCUACCUUUUGACCAACCCCCCCUACCCCGAAAGCUCUGGCCCCCUGUGCCCUUCUUCCCGGUACCUAGACCCUGGAAGUGCAGCAGGGAUGAGCAGCUGGGCCUCCUGCCGCCAGUGGGACUGUGACCAAGGGAGAGGUGGAGGGUGCGCCUCGCAGACUUCAGGGUGGUCAGUGGGUUCCAGACGGCAGGCUGAGGACUGGGGCGCUAGGGGUCCCCAUGUGAAAACAGAAGAAGGAGAAUCUAGUGCUCGAUGAACAGAAAGGAACCUCGGCUGCUUUCCAGGCUCUUGCCCUCAAAGCACCCCAGAGGCACCCUGAUUUCUCCAAGGAAAAUUAGUGGAGCUUCCCCACAAGGCUAAGGACAUCAUCUAGGAAAUUCCAAAGGUGAGGUGAAAAGAAGAAAGAGUGUCUUUCCCUUUGGGAUAAAAUAAUAAAAUAAAAUAAUUAUACAGUGUGUGUGUGUGUGUGUGUGUGUGUGUGUGUGUGUGUGUGUGUGUGUUGAAAUCUCAAGUGAAAUGGAAAACAAAAUCACACCAGUGGUUAAAAUUGCAGGGUUUUUCCCUCUUGUUUUGGAGCCCAAAUAAAUCAU